rnacentral:rRNA from 1 species
CCCGCACAAGCGGUGGAGCAUGUGGUUCAAUUCGACGCAACGCGCAGAACCUUACCUGGUCUUGACAUCCACGGAAGUUUUCAGAGAUGAGAAUGUGCCUUCGGGAACCGUGAGACAGGUGCUGCAUGGCUGUCGUCAGCUCGUGUUGUGAAAUGUUGGGUUAAGUCCCGCAACGAGCGCAACCCUUAUCCUUUGUUGCCAGCGGUCCGGCCGGGAACUCAAAGGAGACUGCCAGUGAUAAACUGGAGGAAGGUGGGGAUGACGUCAAGUCAUCAUGGCCCUUACGACCAGGGCUACACACGUGCUACAAUGGCGCAUACAAAGGGAAGCGACCUCGCGAGAGCAAGCGGACCUCAUAAAGUGCGUCGUAGUCCGGAUUGGAGUCUGCAACUCGACUCCAUGAAGUCGGAAUCGCUAGUAAUCGUGGAUCAGAAUGCCACGGUGAAUACGUUCCCGGGCCUU